UUCAGGUGUAUUCUGGGUUGUCAGGUGAAGUAGCUGGAGUUGGGCGAGUAGUCGACACUGUGUCACAUCGCGCGCGCACACAUAUACGGUAUCUAGGUCCUACUUUUUUCCUCCCCACCCCUAUAUUUAAAAAAAAAAAACCCUUUAGAAUGUUGAUUCAACUUAGCUAUAUAUCUUGUGUUCAACAUUAAACAAAUUCAAGUCUUUCCUUCUGUUUGUUUCAUUUCUUGGGGAUUUUUUUAUUGUUUUCAUAUAUUUUUUGGAAAGAUGUCGACGAUUACUAAAAUGAACGGCCAUGCCAAUGGUAUGAACGGGAUCAAAUCAGAUAACAAUCAUGUAACCAAGACAGCCAACGGAAAAGGUCAAUUAGCAAAAGCAGCCAACGGCAAUCACAUUUUAGCAAAGACAGCAAACGGCAAUCAUUCAGCAAAGACAGCCAAUGGCAAUCACAACGCGCCCAAAAAAGACAUUCGUAAAAUUCUCAAGAUACCAGACGACCCGUUCAAGUGGUUCAACAGUUUCAUCACUCUCAAAACCAAAAUUGAAAAUGAUGAAGACUAUUGUAUGUACACUGGCGAGCCCCAUACGGGAAGGCGGCAAGAGAUUCUAGACAAACAUCCAGAAAUAAAGAGCCUGAUGGGACCCGACAUUUGGAUUGUCGUCCCUACUUCUAUUUGUGUAAUCUCGCAGUUUAUACUUUGCUGGCUUCUAAAAGACGCGUCUUGGCCUUUUCUGAUGUUCAUGGCUUAUUGUAUUGGGGGAGUGUUCAAUCAUUCGUUAGGAUCUGCUAUUCAUGAAAUUGGGCACAAUCUAGCUUUCGGGCAUGGGAGAUUGGCCUGGAUGAACCGUGUACUCAGCCUGUGGUGCAACUUACCUAUUGGUGUCCCGAUGGCCAUCACGUACAAAAAGUACCACGCUGACCACCACCGAUACCUUGGCGAGGAGUACCAAGAUGUGGAUAUUCCCACUCGGCUGGAAUCUUGGCUCUUCAAGCGCCCGGUCACAAAGAUGAUCUGGCUCAUUUUUCACCCUAUCCUCCACUCCAUCCGCCCUUUUUACAAGAGCCCCAAGCCCCUGACCGGGUGGGAGACAAUCAACACCAUCGUCCAGUUCGCCUACGAUAUCCUAAUCUUUCAGCUGUUCGGAAUUAAGCCUGUGGUGUACAUGGUGGCCGGAACCUUAAUGGCCCUUGGCCUCCAUCCAUUGGCUGGCCACUUCAUUUCAGAGCAUUACCUCUUCACGGCAGGCCAGGCCACACACUCUUACUACGGCCCGCUGAACUUCAUCCUGUACAACGUCGGCUACCACAACGAGCACCAUGACUUCCCCUACAUCGCCUACACCAGACUGCCGGAGUUGAAGAGGAUAGCUCCGGAAUACUACGAUAACUUGCCGUACCACAGUUCCUGGAUUAAAGUCGUUUGGGAUUUUAUUUUUGACGAUAACAUGGGACCUCACGCUCAUGGUGUUGGAUUCGUUAAGAAGGAGAUGUUAUAACAACUGAAAUCAUGCCCAUAAUAUAUAUAGACUGGUCAAUACUGAAGCUGUUAGCAAGUCAGGGAGGGGAUUUAAAAAAACCCAGGUCUUAUAUAUAUAUAUAUAUAUAUAUAUAUAUAUAUAUAUAUACAUUUGAAGAAAAACACAGUUCGGAAUUAUCAUUGAAUAUCUGCUUAAAAUAUUUAUCUUCGUAGGAAGUUUGAAUUGGAUACAAUUGUACAUGAAUGAAAAGAACAAUUUGGUAAAGUCCUCGUUUACAGUCAUGUUUAUGCUUUACACUUUUUAUUUUUAUUUGUUUGCUUGAAGUAACCAAAACAAAGAAGAUCAGAUCCAUCCAUUAUUUUAUCUUUCAGUGUGCUGUUUAUUUUGUCUACAUGUUUGAUACGUUCACGCUGUUUGCAUUUUCUCUAGCAUCAGUACGGGCGUCUCGUUACAAAUCUAUAUUUGAUGUUCUAUUCAAAUGCCUAUCUAUAUAAGAUUAUUUUAGUCUACAUUUUCCGUGAAAAUAUACAUUUUUUUAUAAUAAAAAGUAAUUUCACUUCGAAAAUUGAGUCACAUAUCUACGAUAUACACCACCAUAUUCCCUAAACUCUUGUAAAGUGUGAAAACAUUCCAGAACAUUCCUGUGCUUACUUAUUUACUUUGGUAGUAAGUUAAAACAAUGCUGCAAAUUCACCCAACAUUUACAAUGCACAAUACAAAGUGAACACUUGACAGUUAACGAAUGAGAUUCUGCUCACCUUUGAAUCUGAACACGACGUUUCAUGCUCCACAAAUUGAUUUACAGUUUGAUGUCUUCAUUAAAUGAACAGCCAAUGUGGUCAUAAAGUGAGCGGGGCUGUUUUUGUACACAUAAGCUUGGGGUAAACUAAAAGCAGCUUAGUUCAUGGCACAGGACUAUAAUAUUUGGUAACUCUAAUGAUCUAGACUUCUAUACAUUUAAAUAGAUUGCUUCAUUUAAAGAAGUCAUGUGAUGGAAGUCAAUUUCAGACUAUAAGAGGUGGUUGGUUUUUUUUU